CCUAGCACCGAGCACGGCGCUCUGUACCCAGAAAGCCCUCCAUAAUUACCUUUGACUGAUUGACUGCUCGAUUGACCAGAAUUCCACCAGCUUUCCAUCCCCAGGCCUGGAAAUUUCAGGGACCGAGAAGCCUGGCUGGGAAGGAGCGGACAGACUGACCGCCUCCGCCCCCGUGACGGAGGAACCGGGAGAAUGAAGAGGUCCCGCUGUUCCUCGUGCAGAAAACACUCCAUAAAUACUUGGGUCCAUUCGACCUGAUCAACCCCAGCGGUCGGAACGGCGAGGGACCCGUAGUAAGCCCGGAACGGGUGCCCCAGCCUGGUUAAGGCGGCUGGCAGAGCUCGCUCCAGAUGGAUCUGCUGCCAUCGGGUGGCCACGAUGGAGACGCCAACCCUAGCCCACGUCGCGGCUCCCCAGAAAGGCCCCGCUUCGCGCCGGCCCGGCUCACCGCUCCCUCGCCGUCCCUAAGUCUUCCGGCUAAGAACCAGCUGGCGCUGCUCGACAGCUCCGGGGCCGACAGACGAAGCCCCGGAGGGUCACCUGUCCCAUCCAGACUCCGCCCAGGAGAGUAGAGCCAGCGAGGCCCCUCGGACCGGGCCGGGAAGAAAGGCUACCUCUUUAUUGUUGUUAUUAGUCUUUAACCUCGAAUGAAAAGGAAAGGGGCUGUCUGAAAUCUGAGAUUUCUUGAGUGCCUGCUCUGCGCAGAGCGCUGUGCCGCUUCCGACGGCGUGUAGGACGUCGGGUUGGGCGGCCGGUGGUUGG